rnacentral:lncRNA from 10 species
CCGGGCAUGGUGGCAGGUGCCUGUAAUCCCAGGUACUAGGGAGGCUGAGGCAGGAGAAUCCCUUGAACCCGGGAGGCGGAGGUUGCAGGGAGCUGAGAUCGUGCCACUGUACUCCAGCCUUGGGCGACAGAGCUAGACUGUCUCAAAACAAAAAACAAAAAACAAAAAACUUUGAUCACUGAUGUACCUGGUGUUCACUGAAAGAUUGUGUAGAGGGGUUUAAUGUGCGGAGUUGCUUUUUGCUGUCCUAACUUUUUGUGUAAUUAGGAUUGCAGAAUGACAAAUGACCGAGUUAGGAGCAAACAGUGAUUCUUUUUUUUUUUUUUUGAGACGGAGUCUUACUCUGUCGCCCAGGCUGGAGUGCAGUGGCGUGAUCUCGGCUCACUGCAACCUCCACCUGCCAGGUUCACGC